rnacentral:tRNA from 1 species
GGGGGAGUAGCUUAAUCGGGAAAGCCCUGGCCUUCGGGUCAGCAGUUUCAGGUUCAAAUCCUGGCUCCUCCACCA